GCACAUGCAUGUAUAUAUUAAUACAAGUAAAAAAUAUCAUAUUUAUUAUUUAAAGGCUUUUUUCGAUACUAGUCUAAUAUGUUGCAUAGUCUAGAUUGCACUGAUACAGCUGCGGCAACCGAUUCGUUUAUGCGUAGAUGCAGCGUCACGGCGCCUUGGAAUGUACGCAUACACACAGUCUGGCGCCUCCGAUAGGUGCUGUCGUGUGUGCUUCGAUCGCGCAAUCACACUGGCGCUCAACGCUCAGCGGUCGAUGUGAGAUGACAGCGUGAUAAAUUGCCAAUCGCGAAAUUGGCACGAAAUUUAAAUAUUGUGUUGUUCGCUGUAGAGCAUUAAGUGUUCCAUAUUGUUGCUUUCGGUAACUGUUUUAUUUACAAACGCCAAUAAGUUCUUAUGCACCCAACCACGCUUCACAAUACGCACAUUGGCAAAUGUUUUGAAAUGAAUUGCCUGCCAAAUGAAAUUUAUUUAUUGAAUUUAUCGCUUGGUUGUUAAUGCAGAAUUAAGAUUGAAGACUAAUGCGCAAACAAAAAAAAAAAUAUACUUAAAAAGUUUGACACUUUUGUUCUCUACAAAUUCAAUGUUUGAUUUAUGAAAAAAAUUUAAAAAUCGUAAUUUUUUAAAAUUUUGUGCCUGUGUGUGUGAGCUACAUGUACAUAUAUAAAUUCCGUAUGGUCCGUAAUCUUACAGCGAUAAUAAUAAUACACAAGGAAGAAAGGCUAAGUACGGGUGCAACCGAACAAUUUAUACUCUCGCAAUUUUUAAAGAUCAAGUCCAGGACAUAUGUCUUUUUAGGAAUUGGAAAAUUUUUUUAUUGAAAGCAAAACUUGCCAAAGAAUUCAAUAUUGCUAUUCAACGAAAUCAUGAAUGGAUUACAAUCAUAUUUGGCUUUUACCCCGCAUUGCGACGGGAAGUUGUUGCAUACGGUUCAUUGCACUUGUUCGUUUUGACAUUCAUUGGUUUGGAGAGCGAAGCAGUUUACUUCAAUAAUACAUAUACAUACAUACAUAUAGUUCUUUAAUUCAGUUGUCUGAAUUCUUUUAAGUCUGAAACUGCCUUCGAUGGGCUAAGGCAUUUUGAACCGAAAAUUUUUCACGCAAGAAAUACGUUCAGAAAUUCGGUAUCAUCUGCAGAGUGACAAAUUGAUUUUAAAUACUUUUCCGCAGUACUGUAGAAAGGAUAAUAUGUUAAUUUUAGCUCUCAGUUCUUUAGAGUGCCGUUGAACUAUUGAAUUCUAGUUUUAAUACUUCGUCUAAUAUUUGAACUGCGAAGUUCCAAUAUAUCUACCAUAUGUUGAGCAAGUUCUAGGUAAGGCCGGACAGCAGCAGAGGAGUUGGUCCAGCGUCUCACUCAUGCCAACUUGCAGCAUGGGUCAUCGUUAGUAAUGAGCAUCCGGUUCGCAUGUGAUGCACGUAAAUGUUAUCUGUCACUAGGCGAACAACCCACCUGUAAUUUCAUUGUGUAUCGCAUUUAACGACUUGGGUAUGUGUUGUACUGCUUCGGUAGUCGGCUAUGUUCUUAUGACCUGAAACACAGUAUAUAUAGUCGCUUUUCUGCAGCCACAGCAUCUACUGCCUUCCUGCUUCUAAGGACAUUCUCCGACGUAAUACGAUGAGAAAUUAUUGAAUUAAUUGCUGCUUGGCUAUCGACGUCAAUAUUGAUGUGCCUGGAAAACCCUUCAGUAUGUCAGAAGGCUAUAAUAAUACUUUCUUAAAAAACUGCUUUAAUAUGUUAAAAUUUUCGUGACGAAAAGAAAAGUUGGAUUGGUAUAUCUAUAUAUACCCGCACAUGUAUUGUAAAGGACGAAUAGAUUGUUCUAUAAUUUGGGAUAUAAACGCGUUACUUUCCACAAUUAUGAAAAAAAAUGUUUCCUUAAAUACGUAGAGAUAUUUAAAAUGCACAAAUAUAAGCUGCCAACUAAACAAAAGAAACAAAGGGAGAUGCUGAUAGAAGCCAAGCACAACCAUAUGCUGCGAACAUUAAUCGAGAAAUCGAUAUCAUAUAUCGCCAUAAAACAUUUUUAUGACUUAUAUUCAUAUUCGCGCUUUAAAACAAAAUUAUAUGUAUUUAUACAAUAUAACUACAACAUAAUGCAACAUGUAGAAAUUCUAAGGCGCUUGUUCAGAAAAAGAAAUCAGAGCAAGCGGCUGGGAGAAACAAAUAAUAGUUUCGGCGCGCUAUAAAACCGCAACUUGCUCCAUUUCCCGUACCUGGAAAAGUAUAAGAACCUGUACAUACACACACACUUUCUGAAUUCGGGCGUGUCUGUGAAGUUGUUGCCGUUGAACGUUUUCUUUUGUAUUCGCAUGUCUGCAGUCAAUAUUUCUUGCCAAUUUGCUUAUUGCGCCUGCUACUGCCCGUGGGCAGCAUGGUAUUGCAUGUAUGCGUGCGUCGUAUUUAAUAUUGGAUGCAGUAUUUUUAAACAGCUAUGUAUGAUUAUUAUUUUACUCCUGCAAUAUAUUGCUAUCGAAUUAUACUCUUUUUUGUUCACC